AUGCUCAACAGGACAUCUACUAACAUUGGAAUGAUCAGAGAUUAGCAUGGCCCCUCCGCAAGAAUGACAUUCAAUUUGACAUGUUGCAUAUUUAA
rnacentral:snRNA from 1 species